GGAUAAAUAUCUGGUUUUUCAUUUGGCGCAACAGCAAUUAGCAAGACAUCUUCCGGAGUCAUUUUGUUUUGCACCGAAUAAUGGUGGCAUAUUUUUGUUUGCAAGUUAAAAAAAUCACUAGGGAAUUUAACUGAUUAAAUCUAUCUGGGAGAUUGUAUUUGUAGGAGUUUCUUCAGAAUAUUUUGUAAAUGUUUAAAACAAAUUUAUGAUUUACCAAAGGACUUUUUGUUGCUCCUGUACAUGUACAAUCUAUCCUAUUCGUAUAACUAUUGAUUCUCGGUUGUUUUUAGUAAUGGACUUUUUAAUUAGUGGCUUCAUUGCUUAAGUAUUUGGCCCAGUUUGACUUGUUUGAAUUUCAUUGAAUUAGUAUU